rnacentral:lncRNA from 1 species
GAGUUGUCUCUCACCAACAAUGCGUCUGCUGCCAUUGAUUGCCGUGCUUUGUCUGGUGUUGGUGACCACUGAAGGUGGCAGGUGUCGCAAAUUCGGCAAGGCGUGUGGAAAAUGGAACAGGGAUGUCUGCCGCUGGUGUUGGAGACCUCACAAGCGUCUCUGCUGUCUUCCGGGCGACACAUACGGUGAAUGCGGGAGAAAAUGCAGUUUCCCCAAACACCUGUAGCACACUAAACGGCAAACUGUCACAAAGGAUGGUGCUGCGUAUACUGCAAAGGAAAACAUUGCAGGAAAGGCUAGCUGCACCACUUGCUGCCGGCUGCCGCUGUCGUCAAGGGAUGGAUGACGACUGCACUGACACCAGAUGUGAAAGUGACUGCAUGCACAAGGAAGACCCAUGCUAUGUUGGUGGCGUAACAGCAAGGUCGUACGUAGUUCUCAACAGGUGUUUAUGCGCAACCGGACAUUUAGCUACUUGUAGUUGGGCUUUACGUUGAAUACAAUUACGGA